ensembl:lncRNA
UUUUCCUAUCUCACCAGAAGCCAAAAAAAAAACACCUUUUCAUUUUUCUCCUUGACCUAAAUACACCACCCAAAAGGUGGUGUUUGCUACUUUUGGCUGCAUUUUGCAAACUGCAUGAGCCUCGUGUCUCUGGAUCAUUCAUCCUUCCUGUGGCCACCCUUAAAGUCAGUACCAUGCCUUCUACACAUCUGUAUGUGUUACAGCAAUCUUACUAACUAAACAUGCACACCUGCACACACACACACACACACACACACACACACGUGUGCACAUGCACAGAGCAGUUUAGAUCCAUGGUUAUGGGUUCUAACAGAAGGAGGUUCCUCCUCUUCCUUUGCCUGCAGAACCACCCAUUUGUCCAGGAAGGUCAUUGUACUGGCUGCAGCCCACAGUGUCGGGAGGGAUGAGCAUGGCACAAGGGGAGAGAAAGCCAUACAGGUCUCCAGGUCACCUGGCCAUCAGCGGAGCCACAGAUGUAGCACACAGACUGUUCUUACAGCCACUCAGAACCCCACUUUGGAAAGCCCUCCCUCAUCCCUCGUUAGCUGUAAUAUAUUGUAGAGAGCCAAUCAGGGGAAACAACAACAAAGGCAACAGCAACAGUAAUAAUACAAAAGCUGUACAAAGCUCCACAAGGCACCCUGAGCUUCACAACCAACUGAAGAGGGUAGAAUCAGUGCUUGUUUACCUCCUACCAAUGAGGAAACUAAGGCUUAAAGAGCCUAAGAGACUUAACUAAGAUCACAAAACCAUUCAGUGGCGGAGCUGAACCCAGACCAAGCUCAGACCCACCUUGAUGCUGUACAUUUACAGCCCCCAUUCACAGGCACUUAUGAGAUUCCACGCACGUGGUAAACUCCUGACACACACUGUCUCUGGUCAGACUCAUAACAAAUAUGCAUUUUAAAGAUGAGUCAGCUACUAUUUCUGAGCCAAGUUUAAGUGGCGCCAAAUAGUCCAGGGUUACUUCUGGAAUUUAAAGUGCAUAUCCCAGCCACCAUAGCUCCCCAGGUACUUAUGGAUGGGAUGUUUAAAUAACAUAGUAACAAGACUUAUUACAUGUUGCACAAAGUGACCGGGCCAUAAAGAAAUUACUUCAUUAAUCCUCCCAGGGCCCCUAGGGUGAAAAAACUACUACUAAACCAUUUUAUAGAUGAGGAAACUGAGGGUCAGAGAAGCCAACCGAUUUGCUGAAGGAUACAAAGCAAACCAGGGGGACAGGACUCCAGAGACCCGAACAAUAAACAGUACACUGCACAGCCUCUGAUUUUAAGGACAAGUACCUGGGUAUUUGUCCUAAGGGAUUUACUCAUACUCUCACAGAGAACGUGAAAGCUCUGUCCUUCAAUAAAACAUGUUAGGAUACAUAAAUAAUUUAUCAAUAGCAUAUAUGGUAUCACCUCAGCCCAAAAUAUGAAUAAAAGUGAUCACAGGUAAGAUCCAAUGAGGAGAUGUGGUUCCAACAAACAGACUUUAGGAACCCAGUGACCAGACAGUGGGAGGCAGGAACAUUCAUUUUUCUAGCCCUGACUUCACCCCAGGAAACAUGAACAGCAGAACAGGGACAGCUAGCCUUCCCUCCCCUUCAUCAGAUGUGUGUGGGGCCCCCAAACUGACCGUCCUUAGAGAAGGGGACCCACUGGAGCCUGGACGGCCAUAUGACACUGCACCUGGAUGUCUGUCUCUGGACACCUGGAGCCCAGGCUGUCCUGACCAGCCCCAGCGUUCAGAUGCCCAUUCGAGUGCAUCAGGGGGGAGAAGCAAGACGUGGGCCCGUGCACAAGUGUGCUUUUGUCAAGAACCCACCAUCUUACUUUGCCAGGCUGCCGUGACAAAGGACUACAGCCUGGCUGCCUUAGACAACAGCCAUCAUUUAAGUUCUAGAAGCUCAAAGGUGUCACAGGAUGGCUUCUUCUGGGGCUUCUCUCCUUGGCGUGUCAAUGGCCACCUUCACCCUGUGUCCUCACAGCUCUCCCUCUGUCUGUAUCUUAAUCUCCUCUUUUGACAUGGACACCAGCCAGACUGGAGCAGGACCAAUUCAAAUGACCUCAUCGUAACUGAAUUGCCUCUUUAGAGGCCCUGUCUCCAAAUGCAGUCACAUUCUGUGGCAUUAGGGAUCAACACCUCAACAUAUGAAGUGGGGUGGGGGAGACAACACAAUUCAGCCCAUUAACACUCACAUUGGGAAUAAACCACAACUAGUCAGAACAACUUCACUCUGAAAUCAUUUAAAAAAAUUUUUUUCACGUGAAUGAGGUCCAAAAAACUAGGCUUCUUUCAAUAUUUAACCAAAACAUAACUAACUGAAUAAUGUUGUUAGUAAGGAGAGAAUGAAAUCAGGCCAUUUGCAGAAACAUAGAUGGACCUAGAGAUUAUCAUACUAAGUGAAGUAAGCCAGAGAAUGACGAAUUCCAUAUGAUGUCACUUAUAUGGGGAAUCUAAAAUAUGACACAAAUGAACUUAUCUAGAAACAGAAACAGACUCACAGACACAGAGAACAGGUCUGUGGUUGCCAAGAGGGAGAGGAGGCAGGGGAGGGAUGGACUGGGCAUCUGGGAUUAACAGAUGCAAACCAUUAC